rnacentral:RNase_P_RNA from 1 species
ACUGCAAAACGUUCUAUCGCUCCCGGCUUGUUCGGGUGAGGAAAGUCCGGGCAACACAGAGCAUCCUGCUUCCUAACGGGAAGGCGCCCGCAGCGGGCGACAGCAAGUGCCACAGAGAAUAUACCGCCCGCAAGGGUAAGGGUGAAAACGUGAGGUAAGAGCUCACGGCUUUCCCGGGCGACCGGGAAAGCGGUAAACCUCAGGAGUUGAAAAACCAAAUAGGUUCUGAAAGCGGGGCUGCUCGUCUCCACGUCCGGUAACGGAAUGUCAGAAUGGGUAGGUUGAUUGAACCUGCCGGCAACGGCAGGGCCAGAUUAAUGAUAGAAAUUCCCUUACGGGAGUACAAAACCCGGCUUACAGAUUUGCUGCUGUA